rnacentral:rRNA from 1 species
GACGAACGCUGGCGGCGUGCUUAACACAUGCAAGUCGAACGGAAAGGCCCUGCUCUUGUGGGGUGCUCGAGUGGCGAACGGGUGAGUAACACGUGAGUAACCUGCCCUUGACUUUGGGAUAACUUCAGGAAACUGCGGCUAAUAUCGGAUAGGAGCUCUUGCUGCACGGUGGGGGUUGGUAAGUUUCGGCGGUUGGGGAUGGACUAGCGGGUUAUCCGCUUGUUGGUGGGGUAGUGGCUUACCAAGGCUUUGACGGGUAGCCGGCCUGAGAGGUUGACCGGGCACAUGGGUCCUAAGAGAGGGCCCAGAAUCCUACGGGAGGCAAUAGGGGAGAAUAUGGCACAGUGGGGGGGAGUCUGAUGCAAAAACGCCGCGAGCGGGAUGAAGGCCUACGAGGUGUAAACCACUUUCGCCGUAGACAUAGCGGUAGUGACGGUAAUUGGUAAGGAAGCACCGGCUAACUACGUG